rnacentral:rRNA from 1 species
UACGGAGGAUCCAAGCGUUAUCCGGAUUUAUUGGGUUUAAAGGGUGCGUAGGCGGAUUGAUAAGUUAGAGGUGAAAUGUCGGGGCUCAACCCCGAAACUGCCUCUAAUACUGUUGGACUAGAGAAUAGUUGCGGUAGGCGGAAUGUAUGGUGUAGCGGUGAAAUGCUUAGAGAUCAUACAGAACACCGAUUGCGAAGGCAGCUUACCAAACUAUAUCUGACGUUGAGGCACGAAAGCGUGGGUAGCAAACAGG